ensembl:snRNA U2 U2 spliceosomal RNA
AUUGCUUCUUGGCCUUUUGGCUAAGAUCAAGUGUAGAAUAUUGUCUACCUCUACUUAUUCCUUAAAAAUUUUUUCUGUAAUUCCCAAGAAAGUCCCUUU